rnacentral:rRNA from 1 species
AGCGAACAUUGGCGGUAGGCUUAACACAUGCAAGUCGAGCGAGGCGUAAUAGUCGAGCGGCGAACGGGUGAGUAAUACAUGGGAAUCUACCUCGAAGUGGGGGAUAACGUUCAGAAAUGGACGCUAAUACCGCAUAAUCCGGGAACGGGAAGGCGCGCUGCGCUUUGAGAUGAGCCCAUGGCUGAUUAGCUAGUUGGUGGGGUAAAGGCCUACCAAGGCGACGAUCAGUAGCUGGUCUGAGAGGAUGAUCAGCCACACUGGAACUGCGACACGGUCCAGACUCCUACGGGAGGCAGCAGUGGGGAAUCUUGCGCAAUGGGGGCAACCUUGACGCAGCCAUACCGCGUGUGCGAUGACGGUCUUCGGAUUGUAAAGCACUUUUAGUGGGGACGAUGAUGACGGUACCCACAGAAAAAGUCACGGCUAACUUCGUGCCAGCCGCCGCAGUAA